ACGGAGGGGCCAAAGUCACUGGCACCGGCGUGGUCGCGCGAGGAGGAAGGUUUCUCGGGGCGCGUAGGUGUCGAGCGGAAGUUUAGGAGGGGCACGCGCGGGUUCGGACGCGUCUGGUAGGGCGUGAGCGCGGGGAGCGCCCUCGCUCGGCGGUUGUUGAGGGGGUGCCUCGCUCAGUUCGAAGAAAAACAACCGGCGCGGCUGACGACCGCCAUGGCGGCGGAGGAGGGAGAUUGGGAGUGCCCGCUCUGGUGCGUGACCAGCUCCUCGCGAGGUUUUUCAC
rnacentral:lncRNA from 1 species